UACAGAGGUCUCAAGCGUUGUUCGGAUUCAUUGGGCGUAAAGGGUGCGUAGGUGGCGCCGUAAGUCAGGUGUGAAAUUUCGGAGCUUAACUCCGAAACUGCAUUUGAUACUGCGGUGCUUGAGGACUGGAGAGGAGACUGGAAUUUACGGUGUAGCAGUGAAAUGCGUAGAGAUCGAUAAGGAAGACCAGUGGCGAAGGCGGGUCUCUGGACGAGUUC
rnacentral:rRNA from 1 species